rnacentral:misc_RNA from 1 species
UGAUCAUAAAACAUAUUUCUAAAUUGCUUACAAGCCUAAUUUGCCAUAAGGAAAUAAAACCACUAAAUUCCUACAAGUUAGGGUUUAGGGAAAUUCUUACCCCUUAAAGCGCAAAAUAAAAUUCUUACACCAAUUACAGAGAGUGAAGACUAUCAAGUGCUAGCCCUCUAGCUUGUCCACACAAGCCCCUUGAUCAAAGCACCUUGAUCCUAAGAAAAACCCUUGAUUCUUCUUCCUUGUAAUUCGGCCAAGUUGGAAAGAAAGGAGAAGAAAAGCUUUCAUAGUUCUAAGUAAUUGGAAGUAGUGAGAAACACUUUCUCAAGGUUUGAUUCAAGAUCAACAGUACUUGUUUCUCUUGAAUUUCAAGCUAGGAAGAUGAGAGAAUUUCUUUGUCUA